rnacentral:rRNA from 1 species
AGGCUGCAACUCGCCUACAUGAAGCUGGAAUUGCUAGUAAUCACAGGUCAGCAUACUGUGGUGAAUACGUUCCCGGGCCUUGUACACACCGCCCGUCACACCAUGAGAGUUGAGAAUACCCGAAGUCCAUGUCAAAGUGGCCGAAGGUAGGCUUGAUGAUUGGGGUGAAGUCGUAACAAGGUAUC